ensembl:piRNA 21ur-581 ncRNA
UGUCAUAAUGUUGGGAGAAGU